rnacentral:rRNA from 1 species
CAGCAGCCGCGGGAAUACGAAGGGGGCUAGCGUUGCUCGGAAUCACUGGGCGUAAAGGGUGCGUAGGCGGGUUCUUAAGUCAGGGGUGAAAUCCUGGAGCUCAACUCCAGAACUGCCCUUGAUACUGGGAAUCUUGAGUAUGGGAGAGGUGAGUGGAACUGCGAGUGUAGAGGUGAAAUUCGUAGAUAUUCGCAAGAACACCAGUGGCGAAGGCGGCUCACUGGCCCAUAACUGACGCUGAGGCACGAAAGCGUGGGGAGCAAACAGGAUUAGAUACCCCAGUAGUCCCUGUCUCUUAUAC